rnacentral:rRNA from 1 species
AUGAGUGUUUUGAGCUAGAACUGCCAGGGGCUUGGGAACCCCGAGGCAGUUCGGGAGCUUCGCAGUAUCGUGAAGCUUGAAGGACCCUCCCUUCUCUUUGUAAUGGAAACAAAAAUUAAGGCAAAAAGAGUUGAGGAUUUGAAGUAUAUGCUUGGUUUUGCAGGCAGUUUUGCUGUUGACAGUGUCGUCCUUAGUGGCGGCAUGGUCUUUUUUGGUCCAAAGAUGUGA